CAGAGUCUUGAGAUAAAAAGGCCAAAUUGGAAUUUCACUUGAUGGAGUCCUGCACAUCAGAUCCCCUCCUAUCUGGGGCUGCCAGUAAUGCAGCAGAAAUGCCAAAAUGAGAGGUAUUAGGUAGAAAACUCACAGCAGCCUGCUUUUCUGGAACUGGACAAGAUGAAUCAGACCUAGUGCAAGAGAAAAGUCAAGCUUGCAUAAAGAGGGACUGAAGAUUGUCAGAACCCACAAUCAUCAUCCCAAAAUAUUCCAGAGAAAAUGAUUACAGAAUUUGGUGAAAAUCUCCUUUUUCGUUGUUUUUGGAAGAACAUAGUGACCGGUAAAAUUUACUUUUGCACAUACAAGUCCUUUGAAAACAUGUUUGUGGAAAGAACGAAGUGACUGCAUAGUUUAAUUCAAGACACUUCAAUUUCAGAGGAAAUUAAAUACCGCUGAGGGAAGGUUAAGGUUAAUUAGGUGAAAGUUCUUUAAAAAUACUGCAGAAUCACACUGAACCAUCACGCUGAACAUGCAGGGCCUAAUCCAAAAACUGCUGAGGUCAGUUGGAAUCUUGAUAAUAAUUUUCAUAGGUUUUAUAUUAACCUCGUCUUUAUUUUGUAGAGUUGUAUUACGAUGGCACUUUUUUUUAACCUCAGACUUCCAUACUUCUACUUU